CUUGAAUCAUUAUGAAGUAGUUAGAAUAUGUAGUGUAGCGGUGAAAUGCAUAGAUAUUACAUAGAAUACCAAUUGCGAAGGCAGAUUACUAAUAAUGUAUUGACACUGAUGGACGAAAGCGUGGGUAGCGAACAGGAUUAGAUACCCUGGUAGUCCACGCCGUAAACGAUGGAUACUAGCUGUUGGGUUUCGGCUCAGUGGCUAAGCGAAAGUGAUAAGUAUCCCACCUGGGGAGUACGUUCGCAAGAAUGAAACUCAAAGGAAUUGACGGGGGCCCGCACAAGCGGUGGAGCAUGUGGUUUAAUUCGAUGAUACGCGAGGAACCUUACCAGGGCUUAAAUGUAGAUUGACAGGUUUAGAGAUAGACUUUUCUUCGGACAAUUUACAAGGUGCUGCAUGGUUGUCGUCAGCUCGUGCCGUGAGGUGUCAGGUUAAGUCCUAUAACGAGCGCAACCCCUGUUGUUAGUUGCCAGCGAUUCAAGUCGGGAACUCUAACAAGACUGCCAGUGCAAACUGUGAGGAAGGUGGGGAUGACGUCAAAUCAUCACGGCCCUUACGUCCUGGGCUACACACGUGCUACAAUGGUAGGAACAGAGAGCAGCCACUUCGCGAGAAGGAGCGAAUCUAUAAACCCUAUCACAGUUCGGAUCGGAGUCUGCAACUC
rnacentral:rRNA from 1 species